GGCGUGCCUAACACAUGCAAGUCGAACGAGAAAAUCUUGCUUGCAAGAUGAGUAAAGUGGCGCACGGGUGAGUAACGCGUGGGUAAUCUACCUUUUGGGACAGGGAUAACACUUCGAAAGGGGUGCUAAUACCUGAUACGAUGCGAACUUCAAAAGGAGUUUGCAUGAAAGGUGACCUCUUCCUUGAAAGUUGCCGCUCGAAGAUGAGCCCGCGUCCCAUUAGCUUGUUGGUGGGGUAAUGGCCUACCAAGGCUCAGAUGGGUAGCUGGUCUGAGAGGAUGAUCAGCCACACUGGAACUGAGACACGGUCCAGACUCCUACGGGAGGCAGCAGUGGGGAAUAUUGCGCAAUGGGGGAAACCCUGACGCAGCAACGCCGCGUGAGUGAUGAAGGCCUUCGGGUCGUAAAGCUCUGUCAGGUGGGAAGAACAAGAGGAGUUCCAAUACAGCUUCUCUUUGACGGUACCACCAGAGGAAGCACCGGCUAACUCCGUG
rnacentral:rRNA from 1 species